rnacentral:rRNA from 1 species
AUACGUAGGGGGCGAGCGUUGUCCGGAAUGAUUGGGCGUAAAGGGCGCGUAGGCGGCCCGGUAAGUCUGGAGUGAAGGUCCUGUUUUUAAGAUGGGAAUUGCUUUGGAUACUGUCGGGCUUGAGUGCAGGAGAGGUAAGUGGAAUUCCCAGUGUAGCGGUGAAAUGCGUAGAGAUUGGGAGGAACACCAGUGGCGAAGGCGACUUACUGGACUGUAACUGACGCUGAGGCGCGAAAGUGUGGGGAGCAAACAGGAUUAGAUACCCUGGUAGUCCACACUGUAAACGAUGAAUGCUAGGUGUAGGGGGUAUCGACCCCUUCUGUGCCGCAGUCAACACAAUAAGCAUUCCGCCUGGGGAGUACGGCCGCAAGGUUGAAACUCAAAUGAAUUGACGGGG